UAAACGACUCUCGGCAACGGAUAUCUCGGCUCUCGCAUCGAUGAAGAACGUAGCGAAAUGCGAUACUUGGUGUGAAUUGCAGAAUCCCGUGAACCAUCGAGUCUUUGAACGCAAGUUGCGCNCGAAGCCUCUUGGCCGAGGGCACGCCUGCCUGGGCGUCACGCA
rnacentral:rRNA from 1 species